rnacentral:rRNA from 1 species
UUCUUUAUGGUGUGGUAUAAAGUAAUUUCUGCUCAAUGAUAUAUUAAAUGGCUGCGUUUAGCACUAAGGUAGCAUAAUAAAUUGCCUAUUAAUUGUGGGCUUGAAUGAAUGAGGAUAUGAAAUAAAUGAUUUCUUUAUUAUGGUUGAUUGAAGUUAAAUUUUAAGUAAAAAUGCUUAAUUUAUUUAUAGGGACGAGAAGACCCUAUAAAGCUUUAUUUAAUAUAUUGAAUUUUUUUGAUCUAUUAAAUUUUGUUGGGGCAACAUAUUAAGAUUUGUAGUUUAAUAAUUUUAUUUAAAUUUUUAUAAAUUAAUUUGAGCCAUAAGUUGUGAAUGUUUGAUUAAGUUACUUUAGGGAUAACAGCAUAAUUUUAAAUUGGGAAGUUCAAAUUUAUAAUUUAGUUUAUGACCUCGAUGUUGAAUUAAUAUUACUUUUGUGGAGAAGUCUCUAAAAUAGUUGGUCUGUUCGACCAUUAAAAUAUUACA